AGAGUUUGAUCAUGGCUCAGGACGAACGCUGGCGGCGCGCUUAAGACAUGCAAGUCGAACGUGAAGCCGGGGCUUGCCCCGGUGGAAAGUGGCGAACGGGUGAGUAACACGUGAGAAACGUGCCCCGGAGACCGGGAUAACCCAGGGAAACUUGGGCUAAUACCGGAUGCCUUCACCGGAUCGCAUGGUCUGGUGAAGAAAUGGAUUCCGCUCCGGGAUCGUCUCGCGGCCUAUCAGCUUGUUGGUGAGGUAACGGCUCACCAAGGCUUCGACGGGUAGCUGGUCUGAGAGGACGAUCAGCCACACUGGGACUGAGACACGGCCCAGACUCCUACGGGAGGCAGCAGUUAGGAAUCUUGCACAAUGGGGGAAACCCUGAUGCAGCGACGCCGCGUGCGGGACGAAGGCCCUCGGGUCGUAAACCGCUUUCAGCAGGAACGAAAUUGACGGUACCUGCAGAAGAAGCCCCGGCCAACUACGUGCCAGCAGCCGCGGUAAUACGUAGGGGGCAAGCGUUGUCCGGAUUCAUUGGGCGUAAAGAGCUCGUAGGCGGUUCGGUAAGUCGGGUGUGAAAUCUCCGUGCUCAACACGGAGCGGCCACCUGAUACUGCCGUGACUCGAGUCCGGUAGGGGAGUGUGGAAUUCCCGGUGUAGCGGUGAAAUGCGCAGAUAUCGGGAGGAACACCAGUAGCGAAGGCGGCACUCUGGGCCGUGACUGACGCUGAGGAGCGAAAGCGUGGGUAGCAAACAGGAUUAGAUACCCUAGUAGUCC
rnacentral:rRNA from 1 species